CCUACGGGGGGCAGCAGUAGGGAAUAUUCCACAAUGAGCGAAAGCUUGAUGGAGCGACACCGCGUGCACGAUGAAGGUCUUCGGAUUGUAAAGUGCUGUUAUAAGGGAAGAACAUUUGCAAUAGGAAAUGAUUGCAGACUGACGGUACCUUGUCAGAAAGCGAUGGUUAACUAGGUGCCAGCAGCCGCGGUAAUACAUAGGUCGCAAGCGUUAUCCGGAAUUAUUGGGCGUAAAGCGUUCGUAGGCUGUUUGUUAAGUCUGGAGUUAAAUCCCGGGGCUCAACCCCGGCUCGCUUUGGAUACUAGCAAACUAGAGUUAGAUAGAGGUAUGCGGAAUGCGAUGUGAAGCGGUGAAAUGCAUAGAUAUAGGGAAGAACUCCGAAGGCGAAGGCAGCUUACUGGGUCUAUACUGACGCUGAGGGACGAAAGCGUGGGGAGCGAACAGGAUUAGAUACCCGAGUAGUC
rnacentral:rRNA from 1 species